CGGUGCGAAGGCAACGGAUACUUCGAUUAGGGAUCGAGAAGUCCGGGUUCGACUCCCGGCGCGCCGACC
rnacentral:tRNA from 1 species